AGCGUGUGUAGGCGGUUCGGAAAGAAAGAUGUGAAAUCCCAGGGCUCAACCUUGGAACUGCAUUUUUAACUGCCGAGCUAGAGUAUGUCAGAGGGGGGUAGAAUUCCACGUGUAGCAGUGAAAUGCGUAGAUAUGUGGAGGAAUACCGAUGGCGAAGGCAGCCCCCUGGGAUAAUACUGACGCUCAGACACGAAAGCGUGGGGAGCAAACAGGAUUAGAUACCCUGGUAGUCCACGCCCUAAACGAUGUCAACUAGCUGUUGGGGCCGUUAGGCCUUAGUAGCGCAGCUAACGCGUGAAGUUGACCGCCUGGGGAGUACGGUCGCAAGAUUAAAACUCAAAGGAAUUGACGGGGACCCGCACAAGCGGUGGAUGAUGUGGAUUAAUUCGAUGCAACGCGAAAAACCUUACCUACCCUUGACAUGUCUGGAAAGCCGAAGAGAUUUGGCCGUGCUCGCAAGAGAACCGGAACACAGGUGCUGCAUGGCUGUCGUCAGCUCGUGUCGUGAGAUGUUGGGUUAAGUCCCGCAACGAGCGCAACCCUUGUCAUUAGUUGCUACGCAAGAGCACUCUAAUGAGACUGCCGGUGACAAACCGGAGGAAGGUGGGGAUGACGUCAAGUCCUCAUGGCCCUUAUGGGUAGGGCUUCACACGUCAUACAAUGGUCGGGACAGAGGGUCGCCAACCCGCGAGGGGGAGCCAAUCUCAGAAACCCGAUCGUAGUCCGGAUCGCAGUCUGCAACUCGACUGCGUGAAGUCGGAAUCGCUAGUAAUCGCGGAUCAGAAUGUCGCGGUGAAUACGUUCCCGGGUCUUGUACACACCGCCCGUCACACCAUGGGAGUGGGUUUCACCAGAAGUAGGUAGCCUAACCGUAAGGAGGGCGCUUACCACGGUGGGAUUCAUGACUGGGGUGAAGUCGUAACAAGGUAACCG
rnacentral:rRNA from 1 species